rnacentral:rRNA from 1 species
GACGAACGCUGGCGGCGUGCCUAAUACAUGCAAGUUGAGCGCUGAAGGUUGGUACUUGUACCAACUGGAUGAGCAGCGAACGGGUGAGUAACGCGUGGGGAAUCUGCCUUUGAGCGGGGGACAACAUUUGGAAACGAAUGCUAAUACCGCAUAAAAACUUUAAACACAAGUUUUAAGUUUGAAAGAUGCAAUUGCAUCACUCAAAGAUGAUCCCGCGUUGUAUUAGCUAGUUGGUGAGGUAAAGGCUCACCAAGGCGAUGAUACAUAGCUGACCUGAGAGGGUGAUCGGCCACAUUGGGACUGAGACACGGCCCAAACUCCUACGGGAGGCAGCAGUAGGGAAUCUUCGGCAAUGGACGAAAGUCUGACCGAGCAACGCCGCGGGAGGGAAGAAGGUUUUCGGAUCGGAAAAAUCUGUUGGUAGAGAAGAACGUUGGUGAGAGUGGAAAGCUCAUCAAGUGACGGUAACUACCCAGAAAGGGACGGCUAACUACGUG